rnacentral:rRNA from 1 species
CCUACGGGAGGCAGCAGUGAGGAAUAUUGGUCAAUGGACGAGAGUCUGAACCAGCCAAGUAGCGUGAAGGAUGAAUGCCCUAUGGGUUGUAAACUUCUUUUAUAAAGGAAUAAAACGAGGCACGUGUGCCUUUUUGCAUGUACUUUAUGAAUAAGGAUAGGCUAACUCCGUGCCAGCAGCCGCGGUAAUACGGAGGAUCCGAGCGUUAUCCGGAUUUAUUGGGUUUAAAGGGAGCGUAGAGGGUUUGUUAAGUCAGUUGUGAAAGUCACGGGCUCAACCGUAGAAUUGCAAUUGAUACUGGCAGUCUUGAGUAGAGUAGAGGUAGGCGGAAUUCGUGGUGUAGCGGUGAAAUGCUUAGAUAUCACGAAGAACCCCGAUUGCGAAGGCAGCUUACUAAACUGUGACUGACAUUGAGGCUCGAAAGUGUGGGUAUCAAACAGGAUUAGAUACCCUAGUAGUC